rnacentral:rRNA from 1 species
CCUACGGGGGUCAGCAGUCGAGAAUCAUUCACAAUGGGGGAAACCCUGAUGGUGCGACGCCGCGUGGGGGAAUGAAGGUCUUCGGAUUGUAAACCCCUGUCAUGUGGGAGCAAAUUAAAAAGAUAGUACCACAAGAGGAAGAGACGGCUAACCCUGUGCCAGCAGCCGCGGUAAUACAGAGGUCUCAAGCGUUGUUCGGAAUCACUGGGCGUAAAGCGUGCGUAGGCUGUUUCGUAAGUCGUGUGUGAAAGGCGCGGGCUCAACCCGCGGACGGCACAUGAUACUGCGAGACUAGAGUAAGGGAGGGGGAACCGGAAUUCUCGGUGUAGCAGUGAAAUGCGUAGAUAUCGAGAGGAACACUCGUGGCGAAGGCGGGUUCCUGGACAUUAACUGACGCUGAGGCACGAAGGCCAGGGGAGCGAAAGGGAUUAGAUACCCCUGUAGUC